AUGGUGGCCACCUCGCCUCGGGAGCGGAGCCGCCAAGGGUGUAAAAAGAUGGAAAAGAUGAUGGUGGUAAACAAAGCAGGCGGCAGAGCACAAGAGAGCACCAAAGCCAGAGAGAGACCAGAGAGAGAGAGAGAGAGAGAGAGGACUACUCUUCUCGCAGCCGCUCGCGGGCGCACACAGUGUGAAGGGGAGGGCGCAGCAGCAGGCAGGCAGCUAGCGGACAAAGCCGAUCUCGUCGUCUACCCGAGGCCGAGGAGCCGCACUGACAGCUGGGCUCCUCCAGCGCGCCGCGCGACGUCACGGCUCGAUGGUUGCCCUCGCGCUGGCGGCGCGGAGGAGGAGGGGAGGCGGCGCUCCGGCGGCGGCGGCGGUGAGGAGGGGCGGCGGCGGUCUCCGCGCGAAGCAGGCCGGCCGGGCCGGCUGCCGCGGCGCCUAAGAUACCGUUCAUUCACUCUGCUGCUGCUACCUCUCGCACUCGCUCGCUCGCUCACCCACCUCCUGCUUCUCUCCUCUCGUCCUCGCGCCGGCGGCGGCGGGCCUCUGCAGCCGGCGUGCUAG
rnacentral:rRNA from 1 species